rnacentral:tRNA from 1 species
GGGGCCGUAGCUCAUUUGGGAGAGCGCUUGCAUGGCAUGCAAGAGGUAGAGGGUUCGAUCCCCUUCGGCUCCA